UACGGGGGGGGCAAGCGUUGUUCGGAAUUACUGGGCGUAAAGGGCGCGUAGGCGGCCUUCUAAGUCGAACGUGAAAUCCCUGGGCUCAACCCAGGAACUGCGUCCGAUACUGGGAGGCUUGAAUCCGGGAGAGGGAUGCGGAAUUCCAGGUGUAGCGGUGAAAUGCGUAGAUAUCUGGAGGAACACCGGUGGCGAAGGCGGCAUCCUGGACCGGCAUUGACGCUGAGGCGCGAAAGCCAGGGGAGCAAACGGG
rnacentral:rRNA from 1 species